rnacentral:rRNA from 1 species
AGUGAACGCUGGCGGUAGGCCUAACACAUGCAAGUCGAACGGCAGCACAGUAAGAGCUUGCUCUUACGGGUGGCGAGUGGCGGACGGGUGAGGAAUACAUCGGAAUCUACUUUUUCGUGGGGGAUAACGUAGGGAAACUUACGCUAAUACCGCAUACGACCUACGGGUGAAAGCAGGGGAUCUUCGGACCUUGCGCGAUUGAAUGAGCCGAUGUCGGAUUAGCUAGUUGGCGGGGUAAAGGCCCACCAAGGCGACGAUCCGUAGCUGGUCUGAGAGGAUGAUCAGCCACACUGGAACUGAGACAGGGUCCAGACUCCUACGGGAGGCAGCAGUGGGGAAUAGUGGACAAUGGGCGCAAGCCUGAUCCAGCCAGACCGAGUGGGUGAAGAAGGCCUUCGGGUUGUAAAGCCCUUUUGUUGGGAAAGAAAAGCAGCAGGUUAAUACCCCGCUGUUCUGACGGUACCCAAAGAAUAAGCACCGGCUAACUUCGUG